rnacentral:rRNA from 1 species
UAGCGGCAGGCUUACACAUGCAAGUCGAGGGGUAACGACUCCGUCUUCGGAUGGAGGUCGACGACCGGCGCACGGGUGAGUAACGCGUAUGCAACCUACCUUUUACAGGAGGAUAGCCCAGAGAAAUUUGGAUUAAUACUCCAUAGUACUAAUGAAUCACCUGGUUUAUUAGUUAAAACUCCGGUGGUAAAAGAUGGGCAUGCAUGUCAUUAGCUAGUUGGUAAGGUAACGGCUUACCAAGGCGAAGAUGACUAGGGGUUCUGAGAGGAAGAUCCCCCACACUGGUACUGAGACACGGACCAGACUCCUACGGGAGGCAGCAGUGAGGAAUAUUGGUCAAUGGGUGAGAGCCUGAACCAGCCAUGUCGCGUGAAGGAAGACUGCCCUAUGGGUUGUAAACUUCUUUUCUGCAGGAAGAAAUCACUCUACGUGUAGGGUGUUGCCGGUACUGCAGGAAUAAGCAUCGGCUAACUCCGUGCCAGCAGCCGCGGUAAUACGGAGGAUGCAAGCGUUAUCCGGAUUUAUUGGGUUUAAAGGGUGCGUAGGCGGGCUUGUAAGUCAGUGGUGAAAUGCUGUGGCUUAACCAUAGAAUUGCCAUUGAAACUGCAAGUCUUGAGUACAGUUGAGGUGGGCGGAAUGAGUAAUGUAGCGGUGAAAUGCAUAGAUAUUACUCAGAACUCCGAUUGCGUAGGCAGCUUGCUAAACUGUAACUGACGCUGAUGCACGAAAGCGUGGGGAGCGAACAGGAUUAGAUACCCUGGUAGUCCACGCUGUAAACGAUGAGUGCUAGGUGUCGGCAAGAGAUUGUCGGUGCCGCAGCUAACGCAUUAAGCACUCCGCCUGGGGAGUACGAUCGCAAGAUUGAAACUCAAAGGAAUUGACGGGGACCCGCACAAGCAGCGGAGCAUGUGGUUUAAUUCGAAGCAACGCGAAGAACCUUACCAAGACUUGACAUCCUCUUGAUGGGUGUAGAAGUACACCGUCUCUUCGGAGCAAGAGUGACAGGUGGUGCAUGGUUGUCGUCAGCUCGUGUCGUGAGAUGUUGGGUUAAGUCCCGCAACGAGCGCAACCCUUAUCAUUAGUUGCCAUCAUUAAGUUGGGAACUCUAAUGAGACUGCCGGUGAUAAACCGGAGGAAGGUGGGGAUGACGUCAAAUCAUCAUGCCCCUUAUGUCUUGGGCUACACACGUGCUACAAUGGUCGGUACAACGGGAAGCUAAAGAGUGAUCUGGAGCUAACCCCAAUAAGCCGAUCCCAGUUCGGAUUGCAGGCCGCAACUCGCCUGCAUGAAGUUGGAGUUGCUAGUAAUCGCGAAUCAGAAUGUCGCGGUGAAUGCGUUCCCGGGUCUUGUACACACCGCCCGUCACACCAUGGGAGUUGGUAAUACCCGAAGCCG